AGCAGCCGCGGUAAUUCCAGCUCCAAUAGCGUAUAUUAAAGUUGUUGCAGUUAAAAAGCUCGUAGUUGAAUUUCGGGAUUGGCGCAUCGGUCGUGCCUCACGGGGUAUGAACUGGUGCAGUCAAUUUCUCACCUUCUGGAGAACCGCGAUGUCCUUAAUUGGAUGCCGCGGGGAACCAGGACCUUUACUUUGAAAAAUUAGAGUGUUUAAAGCAGGCAUUUUUGCUUGAAUACAUUAGCAUGGAAUAAUAAAAUAGGACGGCAUGGUUCUAUUUUGUUGGUUUCUAGGACCACCGUAAUGAUUAAUAGGGAUAGUUGGGGGCAUUAGUAUUCAAUUGUCAGAGGUGAAAUUCUUGGAUUUAUUGAAGACUAACUACUGCGAAAGCAUUUGCCAAGGAUGUUUUCAUUAAUCAAGAACGAAAGUUAGGGGAUCGAAGACGAUCAGAUACCGUCGUAGUCUUAACCAUAAACUAAUGCCGACUAGGAAUCAGACGAUG
rnacentral:rRNA from 1 species